rnacentral:lncRNA from 1 species
AAUGUAUACCUGCUUAUUAUCCCACCCUUUCACCAGGGGCCACUGUCUUGAUGCCAGCGGAGUGAAUGAGAACGAUCAGCUGGCACAUUG